rnacentral:rRNA from 1 species
GUGCCAGCCGCCGCGGUAAGAUGUAGGGGGCGAGCGUUAUCCGGAUUCACUGGGCGUAAAGGGCGCGUUGGCGGUUACGUAAGUCCGAUGUGAAAACUCGAGGCUCAACCUCGAGAUGUCGGCGGAAACCAUCUGGCUAGAGUCCGGAAGAGGAGAGUGGAAUUCCUGGUGUAGCGGUGAAAUGCGCAGAUAUCAGGAAGAACACCCGUGGCUAAGGCGGCUCUCUAGUACGGUACUGACGCUGAGACGCGAAAGCGUGGGGAGCAAACAGGAUUAGAUACCCGAGUAGUCC